UAAUGAUAAGCACUAUAAAGACAAUAUAAUACUGUAAAGAGAUAGAGAGUGACUCUUGGAGUGAAGAGGUAUCUGCUCUGCAUAGGAUAUGGAGGGAAAUCUCAACUUUGACACUUACUUUGUGGCACAAGUCAAUACCUUCACAUCCUCAGGCCAAGAGAUGAAAACCCGGCCAGUCCUCCUGAGUCCUCAAUCCCGCCAUGGGCAGGUACUAACUGGUUGGGAAACGUAGGCCCUACAGCGACUAGGCUUUGCCACGACCCAACCCCUCACCACAGGGGGGCAGCAGGGAGGCCACGCAAGCCUCACCAGGCAUUUCAGCCAGACACCAGGGGGCAGCACUUCGGCAAAGAACGCUUCAGUUCACGCGAGACCUAAGCUGCAGCGUGACUCUCAAAGAAAGAAAAUUGAAAGUUUUUUUUGAUAAAGGAUUCACAAAGAGGUGACACUAGUUAAGCUACCUGAUAUCAAUGUGAGAGCAAGAAGAGGAAAGAAUAGAACCCAAAGA